UACGUAGGGUGCAAGCGUUGUCCGGAAUUAUUGGGCGUAAAGAGCUCGUAGGCGGUUUGUCGCGUCUGCUGUGAAAACCCGAGGCUCAACCUCGGGCCUGCAGUGGGUACGGGCAGACUAGAGUGCGGUAGGGGAGAUUGGAAUUCCUGGUGUAGCGGUGGAAUGCGCAGAUAUCAGGAGGAACACCGGUGGCGAAGGCGGUUCUCUGGGCAUUACCUGACGCUGAGGAGCGAAAGCCAGGGGAGCAAACGGG
rnacentral:rRNA from 1 species